rnacentral:lncRNA from 1 species
AUUAAGAACAAUCAGUGAUGAAAUGUUUAAUGUUCUGACUUAGCAAAAACCACAGGGCUGGGUAUAAGGAUCUUGAUGCAUACUUUAUUUAAUCCCCACAGAACUCCAUGAACACAGUUGAAGGCAUAACAGAAGCUCAUCCUCAAACACACCUGAGAGAUUAAUAGCUUUUGCUUUGCCUCUUUUCCCUUACUCUGACUUCAUCCCUUUCAUACCACACUGCCACCAGGCAAAGGUUGUGUCACAACUGUGACAGGCUGAUGGUGGGCAGCCAAGAAGUCU